AUUGAACGCUGGCGGCAGGCCUAACACAUGCAAGUCGAACGAGUGGCGGACGGGUGAGUAAUAUAUCGGAACGUGCCCAGUAGCGGGGGAUAACUACUCGAAAGAGUGGCUACUACCGCAUACUAUUGGAGCGGCCGAUAUCGGAUUGGCUAGUUGGUGGGGUAAAGGCCCACCAAGGCAACGAUCCGUACCUGGUUUGAGAGGACGACCAGCAGAACUGGGACUGAGACCCGGCCCAGACUCCUACGGGAGGCAGCAGUGGGGAAUUUUGGACAAUGGGGGAAACCCGGAUCCAGCCAUCCCGCGUGUAUGAGAAGGCCUUCGGGUUGUAAAGUACUUUGGGCAGAGAAGCGGUAUCUGCAGAAUAAGCACCGGCUAACUACGUGCCAGCAGCCGCGGUAAUUC
rnacentral:rRNA from 1 species